GAUGAACGCUGGCGGCGUGCUUAACACAUGCAAGUCGAACGGGAUCCAAGGGGUGCUUGCACUUGUUGGUGAGAGUGGCGAACGGGUGAUUAACACGUGAGUAACCUGUCCUUUUCUUUGGGAUAAGCAUUCGAAAGGGUGUUUAAUACCUUAUGUUCUGUCUGCCUCGCAUGGGGUGGGUGGGAAAGGCUUUGGCCGGAUUUGGGUGGGCUCGCGGUCUAUCAGCUUGUUGGUGGGGUGAUGGCUUACCAAGGCUUUGACGGGUAGCCGGCCUGAGAGGGUGGUCGGUAACAUGGGGCCUGAGAUACGGCCAAGACUCCUGCGGGAGGCAGCAGUGGGGGAUAUUGCACAAUGGGCGAAAGCCUGAUGCAGCGACGCCGAGUGGGGGAUGAAGGCCUUCGGGUUGUAAACUUCUUUUGCUCUGAACAAGGCAUGCCAGUGGGUGUGUUGAGUGUAGGGGUUGAUUAGCGACGGCUAACUACGUG
rnacentral:rRNA from 1 species